rnacentral:tRNA from 2 species
GGCUCAUUGGUGAAAUGGUAGACACAGAAGACUCAAAACCUUCCGCAGAAAUGCUUAUCGGUUCAAGUCCGAUAUGAGCCA